AGAGGUGGCAAGCGUUGUUCGGAAUUACUGGGCGUAAAGGGCGCGUAGGCGGUCUUGCAAGUCCCGUGUGAAAUCCCUCGGCUCAACUGGGGAACUGCACGGGAAACUGUUUGGCUUGAGUUCGGGAGAGGGAAGCGGAAUUCCGGGUGUAGCGGUGAAAUGCGUAGAUAUCCGGAGGAACACCGGUGGCGAAGGCGGCUUCCUGGACCGAUACUGACGCUGAGGCGCGAAAGCUAGGGGAGCAAACGGGAUUAGAUACCCCGGUAGUCCUAGCUGUAAACGAUGAGUGCUGGGUGUAGAGGGUAUUAACCCCUUCUGUGCCGAAGCUAACGCAUUAAGCACUCCGCCUGGGGAGUACGGUCGCAAGGCUG
rnacentral:rRNA from 1 species